GGUUUGGCACGAAGCAGAAAUUCACCGGUUCAGAGAAACCAUGUCAACGACGAAGGAACUUCUGCAAGUAUUCAACAACCUAACAUUUCAAAUGCAAAUCAAAGCAUAACAAUAGUAUCUCCCAUGUAAAGGCCUCGACACGAAACCGAAAUUCACAGGGUUGGAGAAGUCAUGUCAAUGAUAUAAGAACUUCACACAAUUUCGACCACGAUCAUGUUUUAUCUGAUGAAGACGAAGAUGUAGACCAUGAUAGCUCAUCAGGU